rnacentral:rRNA from 1 species
AACGAACGCUGGCGGCAGGCCUAACACAUGCAAGUCGAACGGACGUAGCAAUACGUUAGUGGCGCACGGGAGAGUAACGCGUGGGAACCUACCUUUUGGUUCGGGAUAACAUCGGGAAACUGGUGCUAAUACCGGAUAAGCCCUUCGGGGGAAAGAUUUAUUGCCGAAAGAUGGGCCCGCGUUGGAUUAGCUAGUUGGUGAGGUAAUGGCUCACCAAGGCAACGAUCCAUAGCUGGUCUGAGAGGAUGAUCAGCCACACUGGGACUGAGACACGGCCCAGACUCCUACGGGAGGCAGCGGUGGGGAAUAUUGGACAAUGGGGGAAACCCUGAUCCAGCCAUGCCGCGUGAGUGAUGAAGGCCUUCGGGUUGUAAAGUUCUUUUGGUGGGGACGAUGAUGACGGUACCCACAGAAUAAGCUCCGGCUAACUUCGUGCCAGCAGCAGCCGCCG